rnacentral:rRNA from 1 species
AUGAAUUGGAUACUUCAAGAGAAGAGAAGAGAAUUGUCAGACAAGGAGAGGCAUGGUGUUUACUUCGCCUUGCUGGUAAUCAAGAUCAGAGAUGGGUCUGUUCAACCAGAAGACAAGCUGCUAGUCUCAAACCUGUUGGACAUAAGUGUACAAUCUGUUGAAAGAAUCUGGGAAGACUCCAAAAAGCAAAUUGCCGAUGGCAAAGAAGUAGAUGUCUCAAGCAAGAAGCCGGGAAGAUCUGGCCGAAAGAGAAAGGAGCUAGAUCUAGAGAGGACCUCAACAAUCCCACUGAAUAAAAGAAGAACAAUUCGAUCUCUGGCAUGGUCUCUAGGUGUGGCCCGAUCGACCCUACAUAAGAGGUUCCAGUUGAAUGAGCUCAACCGCAUCACAAGCACCGUGAAGCCUCACCUCAAGCUAGAGAACAAGCUUGAGAGAUUGAAAUUUUGUAUGUCCAUGGUCGAUGACAAUUCGAUCUUAACUUCUCGGGCUAUGUUCAAACCAAUGACGAAUAUGGUUCACAUCGAUGAGAAGUGGUUUGACAUGACGAGAGUGAAGAAUAGUUACUAUGUACUUCCAGGAGAGCCUGAACCAAAGCGCACUGUGUGUCGUGGUUCUAAGCCUGACAGUAGAGUGGGGGGUAGGUAUGGAGAGGCAAGGUCCUAG